AAACUUAAAUGAAUUGACGGGGAGCACACAACGGGUGGAGCUUGCGGUUUAAUUGGAUUCAACGCCGGAAAUCUUACCGGGACCGACAGCAAUAUGAAGGCCAGGCUGAAGACUUUGCCGGAUUAGCUGAGAGGUGGUGCAUGGCCGUCGUCAGUUCGUACUGUGAAGCAUCCUGUUAAGUCAGGCAACGAGCGAGACCCACGCCCACAGUUGCCAGCGUACUCUCUGGAGUGACGGGUACACUGUGGGGACCGCCGCUGCUAAAGCGGAGGAAGGAAUGGGCAACGGUAGGUCAGUAUGCCCCGGAUAUCCCGGGCUACACGCGAGCUACAAUGGUUGGUACAAUGGGUAUCUACCCCGAAAGGGGACGGGAAUCUCCUAAAACCAAUCUUAGUUCGGAUUGAGGGCUGCAACUCGCCCUCAUGAAGCUGGAAUCUGUAGUAAUCGUGUCUCAAAAUGGCACGGUGAAUAUGUCCCUGCUCCUU
rnacentral:rRNA from 1 species